rnacentral:rRNA from 1 species
UGGUUUUCUGCGAAAUCUGUUUGAGCAAAUUGUUUAUUGAAAUUCUUAGUAGGUAUAGCACUGAAUAUUUAAAAAAUAAGGAGAGUUGUUGCCAACUAAUCUUGUAUAUUUAAUCUCAGACAUGACUAAGAAUGAAGAUAUAUAAUAAGUAAUCAGACUUAUUUGUGAUAA